rnacentral:rRNA from 1 species
AAAUAAAAAUCUUAAUUAAUAUUUAAUCAUAAUUAAAUUGUCAAGAAACAUCUAUUAAUAUUGUAAAGGAGAUUGAAACUUUAUUUAUCAAUAAUUUUUAAGUACUGAGAAGGAAACUUAUUAUUUUUUAAAAAGUAAUGAUUUUUUCAUGUACCUUUUGUAUCAUGGUUUAGCUAGAUUUAAUUUAGAAUUUAAAAUUCUCGAAACCUAAUGAGCUACUUUUAUUUAUUUAUUUUAGUAUAUAAAAACUAGUUGUAGCAAAAACUUUUUUAAAAAUAAAAGUAGAAAUGAAAUUUUAUCCGUAUUAGGUGAUAGCUAGUUCUUUUUUAAAGAUAUAGAAGUAUCAAAACUUAUAAAUAUAAAUUUAAAAUAUGUUAAAUUUAGUAUAUAAAGUUGGAUAAAUUUUUAAAGAUAAGCUUAAAAAUAAAUAAAAUUAUUUACAUUAAACUUUUUUGAAAUUUAAGCUUGAAAAUAGUUAAAAUUUUAAAAUUUGUUAUAAUUUAUUAAGAUUGAAAAGAAAAGAUAAAUAUGUAUAAAAUUUAAAAAAGAAUUAUUAAAAACAAGAAUAAUAAAUAUUAAUGCUAAAAUGAGUAUUUUAUCUAUAUAAUUUUUUUUGAUUAUUUAAAUAUCAAAAUUGUAAUUAUUUUUCUCAAAAAAUUUUUAUAAAGGAACUCGGCAAAUAUUUACUCUGCCUGUUUAUCAAAAACAUGGCUCCUUGUAAACUAAAAGAUAAGGAGUCGGACCUGCCCAGUGAUAUAUUAAUUCAUUAAUAAUUUUUUUUCUUGUUAUAUCUAUAAUGAUUGGUGGGUUUGGGCCAAGACCGAAGCUUGCGGCCGCGGUACCCUGACCGUGCAAAGGUAGCAUAAUCAUUUGCCCUAUAAUUGAGGGCUAGUAUGAAUGGUUUGACAAGAGUAAUACUGUCUCUAUAAAAAUUUCCUGAAUUUAUUUUUUAGGUGAAGAAUCCUAAAUAAAAUUAAAAGACAAGAAGACCCUAUCGAGCGUUAAAAUCUAUUUAUAAAAUAAGAARAAUUAUAAAAKAUUUUUAGUUAUAAAAAAUUUUGGUUGGGGCGACUAAGGAACAAAUAAAGCUUCUUAUAAUUUUAAAAAUCUAUAAAUAAUGAUCCAUUUAUUUAAUGAUUAAAAGAAUUAGUUACCGUAGGGAUAACAGCAUAAUCCAUUUUGAGAGUUCAUAUCGAAAAAUGGGUUUGUGACCUCGAUGUUGGACUAGAAUAUCCUACAAGAUGCAGAAGUCUUUAAGGGUUGGUCUGUUCGACCAUUAAAAUUCUACAUGAUCUGAGUUCAGACCGGCGUGAGCCAGGUCAGUUUCUAUCUUUAAUUUAAAAUUUAAAUUUAGUACGAAAGGACCAAUUUAAAACAAAAAUUGUUUAUUUUUGAUAACUUAUAAUUAUUUAAUAAAUAAAUUAAUAUAUAC